rnacentral:rRNA from 1 species
AUUGAACGCUGGCGGCAGGCCUAACACAUGCAAGUCGAACGAGUGGCGGACGGGUGAGUAAUGUCUGGGAAACUGCCUGAUGGUGGGGGAUAACUACUGGAAACGGUAGCUAAUACCGCAUACCCUCGGUUGUGCCAAGCUGGGAUUAGCUAGUAGGUGGUGUAACGGCUCACCUAGGCGACGAUCCCUAGCUGGUCUGAGCGGAUGACCAGCCAAACGGGAACUGAGACACGGUCCAGACUCCUACGGGAGGACGCAGUGGGGAAUAUUGCACAAUGGGCGCAAGCCUGAUGCAGCCAUGCCGCGUGUAUGAAGAAGGCCUUCGGGUUGUAAAGUACUUUCAGCGGGGAGGCGUGACCCGCAGAAGAAGCACCGGCUAACUCCGUGCCAGCAGCCGCGGUAAUUC